ACGAAAAUAACGAUACGGGACUCAUCCGAGGCCCCGUAAUCGGAAUGAGUACACUUUAAAUCCUUUAACGAGGAUCCAUUGGAGGGAAAGUCUGGUGCCAGCAGCCGCGGUAAUUCCAGCUCCAAUAGCGUAUAUUAAAGUUGUUGCGGUUAAAAAGCUCGUAGUUGAAUCUGUGUACCACACUGUCGGUUCUCCGCUCGCGGUGAUCACUGGCGUGAUGUGGUACGUCCUACCGGUGGGCUUAGCUCUUCACGGGGCGGCCCAACUAAUAUCCCGUCGCGGUGCUCUUUACCGAGUGUCGAGGUGGGCCGGUACGUUUACUUUGAACAAAUUAGAGUGCUCAAAGCAGGCCGUUCUCGCCUGAAUACUGUGUGCAUGGAAUAAUGGAAUAGGACCUCGGUUCUAUUUUGUUGGUUUUCGGAACCCUGAGGUAAUGAUUAAUAGGGACAGAUGGGGGCAUUCGUAUUGCGACGUUAGAGGUGAAAUUCUUGGAUCGUCGCAAGACGGACAGAAGCGAAAGCAUUUGCCAAAAAUGUUUUCAUUAAUCAAGAACGAAAGUUAGAGGUUCGAAGGCGAUCAGAUACCGCCCUAGUUCUAACCAUAAACGAUGCCAGCUAGCGAUCCGCCGAAGUUCCUCCGAUGACUCGGCGGGCAGCUUCCGGGAAACCAAAGCUUUUGGGUUCCGGGGGAAGUAUGGUUGCAAAGCUGAAACUUAAAGGAAUUGACGGAAGGGCACCACCAGGAGUGGAGCCUGCGGCUUAAUUUGACUCAACACGGGAAACCUCACCAGGCCCGGACACCGGAAGGAUUGACAGAUUGAUAGCUCUUUCUUGAUUCGGUGGGUGGUGGUGCAUGGCCGCUACUUACGUUG
rnacentral:rRNA from 1 species